rnacentral:rRNA from 1 species
GUGGGGAAUAUUGGACAAUGGGCGCAAGCCUGAUCCAGCAAUACCGCGUGUGUGAAGAAGGCCUGAGGGUUGUAAAGCACUUUUAAUAGGGAGGAACAUCUGCCGGCCAAUACCCGGUAGUCUGACAUUACCUAUAGAAAAAGCACCGGCUAACUCCGUGCCAGCAGCCGCGGUAAUACGGAGGGUGCAAGCGUUAAUCGGAAUUACUGGGCGUAAAGCGUGCGUAGGCGGUUAAUUAAGUCAGAUGUGAAAGCCCCGGGCUUAACCUGGGAACUGCAUUUGAUACUGGUUAACUAGAGUUUAGUAGAGGAGAGUGGAAUUUCAGGUGUAGCGGUGAAAUGCGUAGAUAUCUGAAGGAACACCAGUGGCGAAGGCGACUCUCUGGACUAAAACUGACGCUGAGGUACGAAAGCGUGGGUAGCAAACAGGAUUAGAUACCCGAGUAGUCC